AGGGCGUUGUCAAGGGCUUGCUUUCAGGGCAAGGGAAGGACAGAGCUCCUCUGGGAUGAGGAGAGACAAGAAGAGACAGCUGGAGGUAUGGCUGGAGGCUCAUCACACAUGCUUUUGCUCCAGCCAGGGGGUAACUCUUUCCUUCAGCAUCUGUUGAGGCUAUAGGAUAGUGGUGGAAUGUCCUGAGGGGGUCAGGGCAGCCUUACUGUGAAUGUGAAGAGCUGUUAGGUUUUCCUAAGGUACAGCCUUCCCCUUAAUGGCUCUUGGUGGGGGUAAAGUAUCCUGAGUGCACUGGAGGCUGCUGUUCCUGCAGGCUGGGUGGUGCUUUGGCCAUCAAACAUCUUAGCUUGUUUUGCAAUGCUCUAUUCUCUGUGUACCCCAUGUGGGAAAAUUGCUCAGGAAACCUUACAGAUGGGUCUGGAGGGCCAGGCUAACCACGAAUGUCUUAAUCACGGCAGGACUGCUCUCUCCUUUCAGCAUGGCUGCAGGGAUGGACAGCUAUAGGAGGGGUGACUUUUCUUCUGGGCCCUCUGUGGAAGGAAAGAAGACACAAGUUUGGUCAGCAAGAAGGAGGGAUAGCAUCCCAAAGCCAGUUGAAAUGCAGUACUCUUCUCUACCCUUGGACGCCCGAGUGGGAGGGAGAAGCCAGUGGGACCAGGCACUCUUUGCAGAAAGGUCCUGCUGGCUCAUGGCUCCAGACAUUUCCUAUGUUUAA
rnacentral:lncRNA from 1 species